AGCCCUGUCCUAUGAACAAUUAGAUAACAGAAAGUAAUGCUUGAACUAAUAUUCUUUGCAACGGUUUAUAAAAGAUUGGUGUUUCAAAGUGCGUCAUGUAGAUGUCGUGCAGAUGUUUCCUCUGUCUCUUCCUCUGUGAUGCAUUCAGGCCCAAAGAUUCCCCGGGGCGGGGAAUCUAAAGGUUCUGAAAGAUUACAUUUGUUAAUUAAUCUGUUCACAAUGUACUGCAGGACGUCUGAGCACUAAGGAGAGGAGAGCUACGCCACACAACGUUUCUCAGCCACAACGAGUCCAAAAUAUCUGGAAAUUCACCGUAUCUCUUGACAUGACCCAGAAGUAUCCAAGCGACGGCUGCAAUGGAAGAAAUGUCCUUGGGGGAGUUUCUGUUAUCUCCUCUCAGGAAAUGCAGUGGACUUCUCUUUGUUGGGAAAAUCCGAUCAUGUUCUGUGCUGCACAUACACUUAAUAAUCUUGUUUCUCACCAAUGCAGCUCACUGAAGAAAAUACACAAAUAAGCUUCACUACAAAACUGAAUAGACAAGGAUCUGCUUUUGUGAUCUACAGCAAUGGCAAAAAUAAAGUCCAUCUUCUACAGGGUUAGUGAUCUGGUCUUUAUUAGGUUAUUCAAAGAUUUCAACCAGGUGCUCAAUAGCUAUAGAAUCUGUUCUUUCUUAUUUUUAGCAUUAUUUUGAUUUCACCUCUGGCACUGAAAAAAUUCUGUCCUUAGAAUAAUUCAUUUAGGUUUCGGGACAAGGCUCACCUCUGUUCUGGUUUUACAUGCUUUCUUUGAGUAAUACUAGAAAAAAACUAAAACUAAUGUUGCCUUAAAG